rnacentral:rRNA from 1 species
GAUGAACGCUGGCGGCGUGCCUAAUACAUGCAAGUCGAACGCACAGCGAAAGGUGCUUGCACCUUUCAAGUGAGUGGCGAACGGGUGAGUAACACGUGGACAACCUGCCUCAAGGCUGGGGAUAACAUUUGGAAACAGAUGCUAAUACCGAAUAAAACUUAGUGUCGCAUGACACAAAGUUAAAAGGCGCUUCGGCGUCACCUAGAGAUGGAUCCGCGGUGCAUUAGUUAGUUGGUGGGGUAAAGGCCUACCAAGACAGUGAUGCAUAGCCGAGUUGAGAGACUGAUCGGCCACAUUGGGACUGAGACACGGCCCAAACUCCUACGGGAGGCUGCAGUAGGGAAUCUUCCACAAUGGGCGAAAGCCUGAUGGAGCAACGCCGCGUGUGUGAUGAAGGCUUUCGGGUCGUAAAGCACUGUUGUAUGGGAAGAACAGCUAGAAUAGGAAAUGAUUUUAGUUUGACGGUACCAUACCAGAAAGGGACGGCUAAAUACGUGCCAGCAGCCGCGGUAAUACGUAUGUCCCGAGCGUUAUCCGGAUUUAUUGGGCGUAAAGCGAGCGCAGACGGUUUAUUAAGUCUGAUGUGAAAGCCCGGAGCUCAACUCCGGAAUGGCAUUGGAAACUGGUUAACUUGAGUGCAGUAGAGGUAAGUGGAACUCCAUGUGUAGCGGUGGAAUGCGUAGAUAUAUGGAAGAACACCAGUGGCGAAGGCGGCUUACUGGACUGCAACUGACGUUGAGGCUCGAAAGUGUGGGUAGCAAACAGGAUUAGAUACCCUGGUAGUCCACACCGUAAACGAUGAACACUAGGUGUUAGGAGGUUUCCGCCUCUUAGUGCCGAAGCUAACGCAUUAAGUGUUCCGCCUGGGGAGUACGACCGCAAGGUUGAAACUCAAAGGAAUUGACGGGGACCCGCACAAGCGGUGGAGCAUGUGGUUUAAUUCGAAGCAACGCGAAGGACCUUACCAGGUCUUGACAUCCUUUGAAGCUUUUAGAGAUAGAAGUGUUCUCUUCGGAGACAAAGUGACAGGUGGUGCAUGGUCGUCGUCAGCUCGUGUCGUGAGAUGUUGGGUUAAGUCCCGCAACGAGCGCAACCCUUAUUGUUAGUUGCCAGCAUUCAGAUGGGCACUCUAGCGAGACUGCCGGUGACAAACCGGAGGAAGGCGGGGACGACGUCAGAUCAUCAUGCCCCUUAUGACCUGGGCUACACACGUGCUACAAUGGCGUAUACAACGAGUUGCCAACCCGCGAGGGUGAGCUAAUCUCUUAAAGUACGUCUCAGUUCGGAUUGUAGUCUGCAACUCGACUACAUGAAGUCGGAAUCGCUAGUAAUCGCGGAUCAGCACGCCGCGGUGGAUACGUUCCCGGGUCUUGUACACACCGCCCGUCACACCAUGGGAGUUUGUAAUGCCCAAAGCCGGUGGCCUAACCUUUUAGGAAGGAGCCGUCUAAGGCAGGACAGAUGACUGGGGUG